GACGAACCGUGCGAACGUUGUUCGGAAUCACUGGGCUUAAAGGGCGCGUAGGCGGGCUAUCAAGUCCGGGGUGAAAGCCCAGAGCUCAACUCUGGGAUUGCCUUGGAUACGGGGAGACUUGAGGAUCGGAGAGGCAAGGGGAAUUCCACGUGUAGCGGUGAAAUGCGUAGAGAUGUGGAGGAACACCUGUGGCGAAGGCGCCUUGCUGGCCGAUUUCUGACGCUGAGGCGCGAAAGCUAGGGGAGCAAACAGG
rnacentral:rRNA from 1 species